UUAUGCAUCGGAAACUUAACUAUUACUUUAGACAAAAAUUUCUGGCAACUCUGCGUUGGCGGAAGUUCAAGUUGUCUUUGUACUAAUGUCUAGUGUAGCUGUUAAGAAGAAAGUAUUAGUAUUAUAUUUGUGAAUCUGGCCAGCGCUAACUGGUGAUUUAUUACUGGGUUACUGUGUGCAAAUGAUGGAAGAUCUUAUUGAAGCAUUUGCUGUUUCUCAGGUUACUGUGCAGCCAAACUCCACGGCUACAGAACAUCCACAUUUUGCUUUAUACAAAGCAAAACAUAGUACAGUAAGCCAAGAAGAGAGGAGAAAGAAGUUUUUAGAGGCACAGAGAGUCAAACGGUAUGAUUAUGUUAGCCAUGCACGUAAAUUGGCCACUAAUGGUUUUAGUGAUGAAGAAGAAGAGGAAGAAAAUUCAGAAGAAAUGGAUGUAGAGGCAUAUGUAAAAAAACCUCCCAGGUCUUAUAAAAAUCAACUGAUGUAUUCAGAAUGGCUUGUUGAAAUACCCUCUGAUUUGGAAAGUCAGUGGUUCCUAAUGCUUUGCCCUGUCGGAAAGCGAUGCCUUGUUGUUUCAUCUGGGGGCAAUACAAAAGUAUUUACAAAAAGUGGAUACCGUGUGAAUACCUUUCCGUCACUGCUGCCCGGUGGGAAUAAAAGUGGUGGUGUGCGGCAUGCUUAUUGCCUUUUAGAUUGCAUUUUUAAUGAAAUAGAUAAGACAUAUUAUAUUUUAGAUGUAAUGUGUUGGAACUCACACCCUUGCUUUGAUUCUGAAACUGAAUUUCGAUUUUUUUGGAUAAAUUCAAAAAUUGAAGAAUCUGCUGAAGUGAAAGUUAUAUCUAAAAGGAAUCCUUAUAAAUUUAUACCUCUGCCAUUUGUCAAAUGUGAUACUGAUUCUAUUAAGAAUUUCCUAUGGUCUCCUUUACCAUUUUCAUGUAAGUUGGAUGGCCUUUUAUUCUACCAUAAAAGAACACAUUAUACUCCAGGGACAACACCUUUAGUUGGUUGGCUAAAAGCAUAUAUGGUACCAGAGUUACUGAAUAUUGAAAUUCCUGAAACAUUGUGCUCUGAAAAGCCGGUAUCUUAUGUUUCAAUGAGACAGCAUCUUCCACAAGCCUUUGAAAAACAUGAAGAAAGGAAGAAGGAAGAUGAAAAAAAUAUGCAAUAUGAAGAUGACUAAUAAUUUAACUUAUGUUAGUUUUAAAAUUAAUUUUUUAAGUGGACAUUUUUAUUGAAAGUUAAUUUGUGCAUGUGAUUUUAUUUUAAAAUCAAGUGUCAGGAUGAUUUUAUUGUUACAUUUCUCAUCAUAAUACAUAAGCAUUUCAUUAAAUGUUAUGUCACAAAUGCAUUAAUUUGUUUUAUGCUAUGUUUUGUUAAAAUAUGCUUAUGGAUAUAAAAAUUUAAAAACCUGUUCUUAUGUAUUUUCUAUUAAACCAAGUCCUUUGAAACAUGAGUGAGAAUUUUGCAUUGCAGAUAUAUGCUAACUAUGGUGCAUAAAUAUUUUUGUUGAUUACAAGUGUUAAAUAUUACAAGUGUUAAUAUUUUUAAAAAUUUACUGCUGUUUAUUAUUUUUGCUUGGAAUUUUUUUUUUAUUCUAAGUCAUCAUAGUCUUAUGCCCCCCAUCCAAAAAGACAUGCUUCUGCAUUCCACAGAAAGUAUUUGAUUAUUCUUUAACUGAACAUAUUUUGUAACUUGAUAGAAUCAUUCUGCUGCCUUUUCAUACACAGAAAUGCACUAAAUCUAUAUUUUAUUAACAUUUAGAUCAUAUAUGCUAAGCACUACAUCACUGUUUCUGGAUUUAAACAGACAAUUUUUUUUGUGACAUUGUAGAGCUGUAUUUAAUAAAUUUAGACAAUUUUAUGAUAGAGAAAUCCAUAUGUAAUGACUUGUAUGGUUAAUUCAUAAAGACAAAUUUUGAUAUACCUAACCUUUAUAAAUGAAAUCAAGUUUUGUUAGACUUAUAUGGGUAAUUCAUAAAAACAAAUUUUGAUAUAGCCUAACCUUUAUAAAUGAAAUCAAGUUUUGUUUGAUUCUUAAAAAUGAAAAUUAUUGUAUAGAAAUGUAAGAACUUUAUUAUUUGACUUGUUAGAUGUAUUUAAUUGUAGCACUUGGAAGAAAUAAAAAUUAAUGGGAAAUUUUCCAUACACAUCAUGAGAUUUUAAGAAAAUACCAAUGGACAGCUAUGAAGGAAAUUUUUGUUGACAUCCUGGAUAAAUAUCAUAGUGAUAAACUGAGCACUAGAUAAGUAGUAAAACAAAUGGAACCUUAAUUGUUUUUUCUUGCAUUUGGGAACUGUAUUACUAGUCAUGUAAAAUGUAAAUUAGUUGUAAUUUGUAUUGUGCUUAUUUUAAGUAAUAUGAAGUUAAAGUAUUAAGCCCUACUUUUAAAUGAUGCUUGGUUAUAUUGUAAAGCAAAGAAGAGUAUUCUUUCUUUUAAUUCUGAUGUUUUUUAAAAUGUGAAAUUUCUCAAAAUUUUUCAUGAUAAAUUAUCUAAUGUAUAUUUUGACUUUUCGCUAAAUGCAGAAAUUUUGUAUGCCGCUGGAAAAAAUAGUUGUUAGCAUUUUGUAAACUUCCAUUUACUAUCGUCCAAGCAAAUGGCAAAAUUUUAUACACAGAUAUAUAUGUAAAUUAGGAAAUAUUUAUAAGAAAUGUAAAAGUUUUCAUAACAUGUAUUCUUAUUGUUAUUAAUUACAUUUAUGUUUUCUACACAUAUUUUGUGAUACAUGUGUUUGAAACUACAGGCAGUGAUAUUUAUUUCAAGUAUGAGUAAUAAAGCAUAUAGAUUUUAACACAAAAUCAGAAAGAAAUGGAAUGAUUAUUUAUUUUAAUAGUAUAAUUAACUAAGCAACUAUAAUAAUCAUUUAUGACUGUAUAAUUAUUAAGAAAUUUCUUAUUUUUAGCGUGUAGUAAUGUACAGACAUUUACGCUCAAAGAUAUAUAUAAUAAUUAUUUAUUAUAAUCUUUUUAUAAAACAUGUAUAACAUUUUUUAUUUUAUCACAGGCCGUUUUCUAGAUUUUUAACCAUUAAGCAUGGGUCUAUAAAUCUUGCUCUUGCUAUCCAAAGGAGAACAGCUAGAGAGAAAAAUUGCUUCAACAGCUUCCUCUUCCUCCCUUUCAUAUAACUGACUGAUUUUUCUCCAAAGAAAUUACCCUUAGGGAACAUUAAAAUGGAGCAGUUGAACUCUAAAUACAAUAACCUUAGUCAAGAUAUCCACUGUGGGAGGCCAUCGACUGGCCAACAAAGCAUUGACAGAUGAAAAUACUUUUGAGAUUAAACACUUUUAAUCCACCUUUCAUGUGUUUACCGAAUCCUAUUUGUGUCUUUUGUUCAUAACCUUGAAGAAUUUUUGGAUUCACUGUUAACAAUAGAAGGAAGCAUGACCUUUAUGAAGUCCACAUUUUGAUGUCCCUGAAUGUCACACUUAUGCAGAUCAGAGUCCAAGAAAUUAUUUCUUUCAUUGGAGACAGACAGUAUUCUUGUUUGAAAGGCUGGAUGAACAACCAGUCAGACAUGUCAAAACUUCAGUUCAAGGAGUGGUGAUUGGUAUUUUUAUCAUCUACAUCAGUUUGUGGUUGCUUACUCGUGAGUCACAUGGUGGUUUGAAUUCCCAGUUGCUAAUUUAUAUAUUGAUAAUAUGUUUAUUCUAAAGAAUUCAUCAAAAAUGUUAAUUCAUGUUUAGGAUAGAGUCGUAGAAAAGGAGCAUAAAUGUCAGAUGAUCAAAAUUAAGAACCUUUUGCAAAUUCUGAUUGUAAUUAAGGACCUUUAAGGAUUUUUAAAGAACAUAAUUUUGGUAUAGUUCAUUCAUAGCAUUAAUUUGUCACUUCACAUGAUAAACUGUCUAUAACAUCUACAUAAAUAUUGCUUUAUAAAAUACAAAAUUCUGUAGAUGUUACAUAUUAACAUUUGACAUCGAAAAUGAAAAAUUUGGUAAUGACUGAAAUAUCUGAAAAAUCUAUCAAGCAAUUUAGCUUCAAUCAUAUACUAUCAAGCAAUUUAGCUUCAAUCAUAUACUAUCAAGCAAUUUAGCUAUUUCAUCAAAUGACAUGGCUUGACUUUUCUGUGCUUCUCAGGAGAAAUGCUAGCAUAACUAGAUUCACAUCAUACAUUAAUUACUGUGUUAUUUAAUUUUAGAAACAGUACAGUAAACAAUUAAAACUAAUCGAGAACUGUGGAAAACUGCUUUACUGCAAUUAGUUUACUAAACUGAUGAAAUGUUUCAAGGAUGAACAGUAUCAUACAAAGAAUUUUAAGCAUAUACUUACACAACUAAUUUACCUCAAUCUUAGCACUCGAAAAUGGCUUGCAGGGUUAUUUCAUUAGCACAAUAUGUAUUACAAUUCACUUUUGAUUUAUCAUUGCAUCUGUUACCUUUCAUUCACUGCCAAUGAUACUGAGUAAAGUGUGCAAGUAUUUUUGUGUUGGUAAUUUUAAAUUUUAUAAUAAAUUUCAAGAUUAUUUUAUAAUAAUCUGUGUUGUGUAUGUAUGCUGUUUGCAUUAUGAAAAACUAAUGGCACCAAAUUUGGAACAAGCAUAUUCCUUUGCCCAGAAAUGUGCACCUCAAAACCUGAAUUUUUAAUAUCUUUAUUUUAGUUCUUUCAUAUUUUGUGUGAUAGUAAUUAAUUUAUGAUUAACAAUUCAGCAUUUUAAAAGGAAUGUGUUCCCAUUUUGCAAAAUGUAACAUAUUUAAUAAAAAAGAAGCUCUGUUUAGAAGCAGUACAUUGCCAUUCAAGGAUAUUGAACUUCUAAAUUUAAUCUGCCUGUUACUGAUCAUUAAAUUAAUUGAUUUAAAAGCAAUAUAAUGAAUUUAAAAAUA
rnacentral:misc_RNA from 1 species